GGGCAGACUAGAGGCAAGAGGAAGGCUGUAGUCACCUCCACACUGGGGGGGGGGGGGGGGGGGGGGGGNNNNNNNNNNNNNNNNNNNNGGGGGGGGGGGGGGGGGGGGUAACCAAUACCUAUUGGGAAGGGUUAUGGGCUGAAUUGCGUCCCCAAAAUUCGUGUUGAAGCCCUAACGCCGAGGACCUCAGGAUGUGGCUGUAGUUGGAGAAGAGGCCUUCACAGAGAUGAUCAGGGGCCGGCAUGCGGUGGAGCCCGCUUCUGCCUGGGGUCAGGCCGCCGGGAGGAAGAGGAGGCAGCGCUGGAGCCAGAUUGCAGCGAACACAGUUGUCACCUGGAGAAGCCCAGGGUAAUUACAACCAAAGGGGGACACCAACAGGAACGAAAAUUUGUGCUUAAUCCUGGAGGAAAGAUACCCAGCCCCAGGUCUAGGAUGAGGCCCAGGCCGUGGAGGGGGUUGGGGUGGGAAGUCAGGACCCGGGCCGUGGCGUCAGCGUGAACCGCAGGCGGGAAGGGCUUUAGGGCCCGCCGGGAACAGUGGGCGCAGGGUCUGGCCGAGGGGACCCGCGUAACAAAGGCGCGCUUCCGUGGGGAGGCCGUCGUAGUGAUGAGUGAUUGUAGCCCGGGAGCAUCCCGCGGAGCCCAUGGGACACAGAGGAGGAACCAGGAGAGUCGGGGCAGGCGUCGCGGAGGAGGAGAAGCCAGCUGAUGCGUCAUGAGGACCCCCUAUAGCAUCCCUAUGGAGAGGUCCACAGGGUGAGGAUUUGAGGCCUCCUACCAAUAACCAGCAUGAAUUUGCAGGUCUUCAGAUCAAGAGAAACUACACUUGAACUAUACUCGGAACUAUUUAGUGAAGGAACUAUACCUGAAGAGCUUCCUCUACCCCAGGACCUGAUUGAGAUGACACCAGCUGCCAUGUCAUGAGAGAACACUCCAGCUCUGUGGAGAGGUCCACAUGGUGAGGAAUUGAGACCCCCUGCCAACAACCAGCACUAACAUAGCAAGCAUGUGAGUAAGCCACCGUGAAAGCAGAGCCUCCAGCCCCAGUCAAGCCUUCAGAUGACCACAGCCCUGGCCAACAUCUUGACCAAAACCUCAUGAUACAUCCUGGGGCAGAACCAUCCAGCUAAGCUGCUCCUGAGUUCUUGACUCACAGGAAUUGUGUGAGAUGAUAAAUAUCUAUUGUUUUAAGCCUCUAAGUUCUGGGGUAAUUUGCUAUGUAAUAAUAAAUAAUACAUCAUUAUUUAA
rnacentral:lncRNA from 1 species